AGAGAGAGACAUGCGCGCAUAUCAAUAAGCGGAGGAAAAGAAACUAACUAAGGAUUCCCUCAGUAACGGCGAGUGAAGCGGGAAGAGCUCAAAUUUGAAAUCUUCAAGGUUCUACCUUGACGAAUUGUAGUUUAAAGAAGUGUUUUCUGUUGGAGUUUUGGUAAAAGUUCUUUGGAAUAGGACAUCAUAGAGGGUGAGAAUCCCGUAUUUGACCAUUAUUUCCAGCUUUGUGAUACACUUUCAAAGAGUCGGAUUGUUUGGGAAUGCAGUCCAAAAUGGGUGGUAAAUUUCAUCUAAAGCUAAAUAUUGGCGAGAGACCGAUAGCGAACAAGUACCGUGAGGGAAAGAUGAAAGGAACUUUGAAAAGAGAGUUAAACAGUACGUGAAAUUGUCAAAAGGGAAGCGUUUGACACCAGUGUUGUUUUCUCGAAAAUCAAUUAAAAAAGGCAGGAUUUUGUGUUGUAUUGACUUUAUCAGCUUUCUGCACUCUUUCUUGUCUUUUUUAAUGCACUUUUCGUUUAACAAGUCAACAUCAAUUUCUUUUGUUGUAAAAGGGUCAUUGGAAGGUGGCUUUCUUUUCGGAGAAAGUGUUUAUAGCCUUUGGCCUCUGCAAUCGGAGAGAUUGAGGUCUGCAGCGUAGAUCCUUCGGGGUUAGAUACAUUUGUGCUAAGUUAUAGCCUUUCAUAGACAACUUGUUGACUAUGAUCAGUCAUGUAGCUUACUCGCUUAUGCUAUUUUACCUACGCUUAGGAUGUUGAUGUGAUACUGCGAGCA
rnacentral:rRNA from 1 species